AGGACGAACGCUGGCGGCGUGCUUAACACAUGCAAGUCACGGGGGCUCGCAAGGGCAACCGGCGAACGGGUGCGUAACACGUGAGCAACCUGCCGAUCUGAGGGGGAUAGCCGGCCCAAUGGCCGGGUAAUACCGCAUACGUUCUUUUGGCCUCCUGGCUGAGAGAAGAAACCUCCGGGGCAGAUCGAGGGGCUCGCGGCCUAUCAGCUAGUUGGCGGUGUAAUGGACCACCAAGGCGACGACGGGUAGCUGGU
rnacentral:rRNA from 1 species